rnacentral:piRNA from 1 species
UGAGGUGAAAUCUUCAAACGUGAUAGGUUC